rnacentral:misc_RNA from 1 species
CCGAAUUGUCAACACGAGUUGUUGCUGGUCCUCAAACGGGGACAUGUGCACGCUCUGUUUGUACAUCCACUCACACCUGUGCACUCUCUGUAGUUCUGUGGCCUGGGGGCUCUGCCCCCCUGCUGUGGUUCUAUGUAUUUAUACACACACACCGCAAUAAAGUAUCAUGGAAUGCAUGCCGCGUCUAACGCAAUACAAUA